CCUACGGGUGGCAGCAGUGAGGAAUAUUGGUCAAUGGGCGGGAGCCUGAACCAGCCAAGUCGCGUGAGGGAAGACGGUCCUACGGAUUGUAAACCUCUUUUGCCGGGGAGCAACGGGGUCCUUGCGAGGGCCCAAUGAGAGUACCCGGCGAAAAAGCAUCGGCUAACUCCGUGCCAGCAGCCGCGGUAAUACGUGGGUGGCGAGCGUUAUCCGGAAUGAUUGGGCGUAAAGGGUGCGUAGGCGGCCUGCUAAGUCUGGAGUGAAAGGGACCGGCUCAACCGGUACAGGCUCUGGAAACUGGCGGGCUAGAGAGCAGGAGAGGGCGGUGGAACUCCAUGUGUAGCGGUAAAAUGCGUAGAUAUAUGGAAGAACACCAGUGGCGAAGGCGGCCGCCUGGCCUGUUACUGACGCUGAGGCACGAAAGCGUGGGGAGCAAAUAGGAUUAGAUACCCCUGUAGUC
rnacentral:rRNA from 1 species